AUUGAACGCUGGCGGCAUGCCUUACACAUGCAAGUCGAACGGUAACAGGUCUUCGGAUGCUGACGAGUGGCGAACGGGUGAGUAAUACAUCGGAACGUGCCUAGUAGUGGGGGAUAACUACUCGAAAGAGUGGCUAAUACCGCAUGAGAUCUACGGAUGAAAGCAGGGGAUCGCAAGACCUUGUGCUACUAGAGCGGCCGAUGGCAGAUUAGGUAGUUGGUGGGAUAAAAGCUUACCAAGCCGACGAUCUGUAACUGGUCUGAGAGGAGGAUCGGCCACACUGGGACGGAGACAAGGCCCAGACUCCUACGGGAGGCAGCAGUGGGGAAUUUUGGACAAUGGGCGCAAGCCUGAUCCAGCAAUGCCGCGUGCAGGAUGAAGGCCUUCGGGUUGUAAACUGCUUUUGUACGGAACGAAAAGCCCUGGGUUAAUACCCUGGGGUCAUGACGGUACCGUAAGAAUAAGCACCGGCUAACUACGUGCCAGCCGCCGCGGUAACAC
rnacentral:rRNA from 1 species